CGAUGUGUGUGUGCGCGAGCGUGUGUGUGAGUAAGCAGGCUCUUUCAUUUUAAGCCGUGCAGUGAACAUGCAUGUCAUGGACAGGGGCUGCUUUGGGCCACUGCACAUCUCAGGAGACUUCAUUAAUUAUUCAACCCUUUGACUCCCAGAGAGACAAGCCCGUACUCUGUAUGUGGCCGGUAACCCCAGAAAAAGACCAUUAGGCAGGCCUACAGGUUACCGGAGUACAUGCAGAAUAGAGAUGAUGCGUUGCUAGGAAGAUUCGGAGCAUUUAAUUACACGAACAUCGACAGCACUGACGCUAAUUUUGGAGGGAAGGCUGAAAGAAGCGUGUAUUGUAGGCCUGUGUGUGCAGAAGCAACCAGAUGUGCAUCUGGGGAGGAAGAGGCGGUCAGCUCAUGUUGAUUUUAUAAGGGUUUCUGCACACGUUGGCAUCAGGACUGAAUUUACUGAGGCAGAAAGAGUCUCAAGUCUCUCUCGUUCCAGGAGGUUGUCAGUUCAGGGGCAUGCAUGCAGUGGGCCAUCCUUCUGUUUGCAGCAGAGUGCUUCUAAAGACCGACAGAAACACAAAGCAUGGCCUGUCAAUCAGAGCACCCCGGUCCCCUGGUGUAGCAUUGGAGAGGCCUACUGAGAGAAAAGGAAGGAGGGCAGCAACACCACUUUCUCUUUGGUAAUGGGUGUUGUAAGAUGUGGGCUGAAGUAAUGUCUAAAUUGUUGAGAGUAAUAACAUAUAUAUUGAUUAUGAUUUCUCUCUGUGGGGUAAUUAAGUUGGUAUGUAAUGUUUAUUUGUGUAUGUGAAUUUUUAACAGAUUUUUUAACGUGAACAUGAACACAACAGAGAUGAUAUAUAGCUAUAGUUUAUGGACAAACACACACACACACACACACACACACACACGGUUUCUGUUUACACAUCUACCAUUUUUAGAAAAGAAGCUCGUGCACAGAUAUUUGUUUCAAGCAGACAAGCAAAGCGAUAAAAAUAAGAAACUUCUAAAAGGGGUAAGAGAGGAGUGGAACAAAGGGAACGCUUUGCGUUAAAGCGCGCAUAUGAAAGCCGAUCCCUCGCCGCAGAGCUGCUCGGACCUCCUGCACUAGGAAUUUGAGAGCCCGCGUGAGCCUGAUUGUAAAAUGCUUUCAUUUGUGCCGCAUUAGUAGUCGAGAGGGAAAUGGCACAGAAAUCACCCUCAGAGCUUCAAUAGAAAAGGAAACUUUGUCAUUUCAGUUUAAUUUGACUUGUUGCGAACAUGAUAAAGCCCACUGAUUGAAGUGUGUGUGUGUGUGUGUGUGUGUGUGUUGCAAAGAGAGAGAAAGACAAAGACAAGCCCUAAUAAAAAUCACUAUUAGCCUUAUUUGUAUCAACUCCAUCGAAUACCAUGAUUCGUGGUCGUAUCCAUUGUUCUGAGGGCCUUUAAAUACAGAAUGAUUAGUUAAACCCAAACUAAGAAUCGAAGCAUCAGGCCGACGUCAACCAUUCCAGUCAUUAAAAUGUUCCCAUUCCUAUUAUCCAAAGUCAUUUCACGGCCACCUAAACACACAGGCAAAAACUCUGACUAGGUCCAAAAUGAAGGCAUGAAGCUACGACACUAGGAUCACAUAACCCGUUUACAAUGGAACUGAAGAUCUUGUAUUAAACUGUUGUGUUGAAACUGAAAUUAAUGUCUAACGCCUUUGUGUAGGCUAAUGCAUCUAUAUGCAUUUUUUCAAUAAAAAAGUUGUUUUUGCUCACGUUUAAAAGUCAAUUCAACAAAUUAGCUUCUUUGAGAUAAAUGGUAAGUCUCUUUAGCCUGUGCGAAAACAACUGAUACCAAAACUAAGCAGUCUUUUAUAGGCUAUAGGCUAAAGUUCAACAGCGAUUCUUUAAAUGUUCACUUCGGAGUAACAUAACUUGAAGGGAUAGCACAGAGUGACUUGAACGGUGAGCAUGUAAGUCACUGGAAGGAUGAAAUGAGGGAAGAGCAGGAACUAUUCCAAAUGUGUCCAAAGACCUUAUCCCGGGAUGCCGAUUUUUCCGUUGCGGUGAAUGCAAGAGUGCUGGAGCGGCUGCUUUUCCCACUGA